GGAAUAUUGGACAAUGGGCGAAAGCCUGAUCCAGCCAUGCCGCGUGUGUGAAGAAGGUCUUCGGAUUGUAAAGCACUUUAAGUUGGGAGGAAGGGUAGUAACUUAAUACGUUGCUACUUUGACGUUACCGACAGAAUAAGCACCGGCUAACUUCGUGCCAGCAGCCGCGGUAAUACGAAGGGUGCAAGCGUUAAUCGGAAUUACUGGGCGUAAAGCGCGCGUAGGUGGUUCAGUAAGUUGAAUGUGAAAUCCCCGGGCUCAACCUGGGAACUGCAUCCAAAACUGCUGGGCUAGAGUACGGUAGAGGGUAGUGGAAUUUCCUGUGUAGCGGUGAAAUGCGUAGAUAUAGGAAGGAACACCAGUGGCGAAGGCGACUACCUGGACUGAUACUGACACUGAGGUGCGAAAGCGUGGGGAGCAAACAGGAUUAGAUACCCGGG
rnacentral:rRNA from 1 species